rnacentral:lncRNA from 1 species
GUUAAGAAACCAGUAUUUGUGUUUAGUUGUUUAUAUAUUAACUGGCUUAAUCACAUCUGUUGCUACAAAGCGCAAUAAAAAAGUUAAAUACUGUAUAAAAACUAAGUUCAAUCAAUCUGUCAAUAUAUAGGUGACUACAGGAUGAAAAAGAUGGAAAUUUGAUUUAUGUAACUAUUUAGGAACAAUUCACCUUCUAGAGCUGGUAUGUUAGUUUUAAUAUACGUUAUCUUGUUGAGACUGUUUGAUAAUUUCCCUAUGUGUUCACUGACUAAAUUUGGUACGUUAUUUUUGAUAAAUUAUAUUGCCGUUUUGUGUACGUUUUUGUAGUAUGUAGAUCCAUUUUUGUCAAGCCUGCGACUCAUGUCGCAAAAUCGGACAUAGCGAUCCUACAUUCCGUCGUCGGCGUCAUCAUCGGCAGCUGCGUGGUCCACAAAUAUCCACACUGGUUGAAGUUUUGAAAUUUUUAUAACUGUCUUAAAAUAUCCUAGAUUUCCACCAAUCUCAGUUGGUUAGAAGCUUGUUUAUAAUCAUGAGAUAGUAUUUUAUAGUAAAUGUAAAAAAAAAAUCAUGUUUAUCUGUAGUUUACUUAAAUAUGGACUUUGGGGUCCGCGGAACCCUUAAUAAUUUUAAAUAAACACAUUAUAAUGUUUAUCGUAUUAUAUGGCAUGACAACGUUCGUAUGUUUAUCCAAAUCACAACAAGACAACUACCAAAAGCACGACUUUCCCCUACACUGAAAACGAACAUUCUACCACUGAGUUGUCAAAACAAGGCAUAUCUGCGUAUGUGCUAAUAGUAUUUUUUUCAAACUGACAUCUACACAUCAAGAUGAAUCAUAGGUAUAUGAUGGAAUUUUCUGAUAUUUUGCCUUAAUGUAAACAUAACCUUUCUUAAAAAAAAUACUAUUAUAAAAAGUAUACCCCACCGUGUCAAGUCUUGCAUAUUUGGCCAAAUUUGAAUAGAUUAUAUCACGGAUAGAUGAUACUCUAUUUGUAUUAUACACCAGUGACUGUAGUGGAUAGUUAACUUGGACUUGAUAGUUACUUAUUAGUUUAAUAAAAACCAUUUAUAAUAUAUUUAUGUUCAUAUAUUACACACAAAAAAUCGCAAAUUAACUUAACUGAAAUUAAUAGAAUAAUAACGGAUUUUGCAAAAAACCGGGAGGGCUUAAAAUAAAUUGUUAUGUUCCCAAGUUCUCAUAUUUCAAUCGACCUUGGCAAAUAUAGUUUAACAUGUGACUUUUCCUGAACGAAUUAGUCAAAAUGUACAAAUAAAUAAUAUCAUAAAAUAUACUCAAUUACUUGCAGUUUACAUUUUAAAGGAAACAACCACAUAUCCUACACUAAAAUAAGAUAGUAUUCUGAUGAGUAAACAACAAAAUACAACAUUGAAACUAAAUCCGCAGCAACACCGUCCCCACCUAAAACUAGGGGUGUUCCGAGGAGCUCCGGACCUGCUCCAUACGUGGCACUAGUUGUCGGUACACACGCACAUACACAACAUGAAGAAAUGAUUACAAAUACUUAUGAAAAUGGACCAUCUCUUUGGUUGAUUCUCAUUUUUUCAUGGCCUCGCUUGUUCUGGCUUUCUGUACGGUUCCGGUUUUUAUUCAGUGCUGAAGGCAAUAUAGUGUCGUAUAUUUGAUGAAAUAAUCCUGUGGUCACUGGUGGAUAGUUGUCUCAUGGCAAGCAUACCCCUAUCUUCUUAUUUUCAUAGUCAUAGUCAAGAUGCAAGACCAAGAACAUGUGUGUGUACAUUUGUAAUAUAAACAAGAAGAUGUGGUAUUAUUGCCAAUGAGACAACUAUCCACAAAAGACCAAAAUGACACAGACAUUAACAACUAUAGGUCACCGUACGGCCUUCAACAACUAGCAAAGCCCAUACCGCAUAGUCAGCUAUAAAAGGCCCCGAUAUGACAAUGUAAAACAAUUCAAACGAGAAAACUAACGGCCUUAUUUAUGUAAAAAAAAGAACGAAAAACAAAUAUGUAACACACAAACAAACGACAACCACUGAAUUACAGGCUCCUGACUUGGGACAGGCACAUACAUAAAUAAUGUGGCGGGGUUAAACAUGUUAGCGGGAUCCCAACCCUCCCCCUAACCUGGGACAGUGGUAUAACAGUACAACAUAAGAACGAACUAUAAAAAACAAUUGAAAAUGGCUUAACUCAUCAGAUGGACAAAUAUACAAGUGGAUGUAACCAUUAAUGAAAUAUUUGUUUGCGUCUUGACAAAAGCAAGGGAAUCGUUGCAGCCUCCAGUACAACAUAUAGAUAAAUAUAUCUUUGUUCCAAUUAAAGUGCCCAUGAUCAUGGAAAAAAUAGGGAUACUGUUUCAGCCUCUUGUACAACAUAAAGAUGCAUAUAUCUUAAGUCCAAUUAAAGGGUCCAUGAUCAAGAAAAAAUGGGGGCACUGUUUCAGCUUCCAAUACAACAUAAAGAUAAAUGUAUAUUCAGACCAAUAUUAAAGAGGGCCCCAAGGUCAUGAAAAUAUGGAUUCUGUUGCAGACUUCGGUACUAGAGUAGUCCUAUUAAAGGGCACAUGAUUAGGAAAGUAAUUUAUUACAAUAUUUUUUUUCAUAAUAGAGAGAUACGGAUAAUUAAGCCGCAACCAGAUCAUAGCCAUUAACAUGUGUGUAAAAAGGCAUUAUUGUAUGAAAAUGAUAUAUUAUCUCCCCUUUUUUAAAUGAAACUGUUUUGAGAAAAUUUGGUAAAUAUAGAUAACUAUUUUUUAAAUGAAAUAUAUCUUGUUGUAAAAACUGUUCUACAAAACAACACAGUCCUCGUGUAAACGAAAUCACUUUCAUUUAUAAAAAAAAGUGUCUUGUCUAUAUCCACGAAAACAGAAUCGCAUGAAAAAAUGUUUUAACUUAAACUAUCAGCCAACAGAAAACUGAUCAAGUGAUAUUCUUGGAAAAAAGGCGGCUUGAAUAGCAGCAACUUGCAAUAAAAAAAACCGCAAAGCAGUUUUGCGAUUAAUAAAUGUCACGGAAAUAACCUUCUGCAAAAUGAAUAUUCAUGCAAAAAUUAAUAAGUAUUCUUAGCAAUUACUGUCCCUUGCAACAACUCCCUAUCCAAUAAACCUACAUUUUACAAUGACAGCUCAAAUUCCCUCCGACCAUCAUCUCGGAUGGCCUCUAUUAUAAGACCUAUCUAUUGUAUGUAUUGUUAACUUGUUCUCGUCCUGAACAUGCAUGCCAUAUUUGCCACUGGACGUUAAGCAACAAUCAAUCAAUCAAUCGCAAUAAUUGUAAAAAUAUCAGACGAUUUGAUUUGAAGGUAAAAUGUUAUCUAUUAGAGUACAUCAGUCGCAAACAUGUCUACAGAAUAAAUCCCUGUAAAAAUAUUUAUUCAGGAUAGAAAUUCAUGUCAUUAUUGUUAUCUCUAAUACCUAUGCCAUUGUUAUCUUUAAUCCUUAUUCCCUUGUUAUCCCCAAUCCUUGUCCUUGUUAUCUCUAAUCCGUAUGCACUUGUUAUCUCCUAAUCGCGAAUCCCUGUAUCCCUUUUCUGGAUUUUCACAGAAAAUGCCAAAAUUAACUAAGUUUGGGAAAAUAAUUUAGAUGUUUCCCUAUGUACAUAAUUGUAGUGAGUUGUAUUGAUUGAUUAACUGGACAAUAGACAGACAAAAGACAUCUGUACGACAAUGUGUAAAUUAAACUGUGUAAAUGAGUGGACCAUGUCAAAUGAAACUCAGGUGUUUCGUUAUUUAUAUCAUCUUCUGCCGGCUAAAAAAAAAAGGAAUAUAAAAUUCCAGGUAAGAGAUUAAUUUUCUGAAACAUAAAAUGCAUUCAAAUUUUGUUUACCUAUUUUCUAUCACGCCUUAGAAGAACAGGUUUGUCUGUACUCGGAGUAAAUUUUGUGAUGUAAACAUAGUCAUAUUUUUCAAGUCCUUCUGAUGAACCUUGACCAUUAUUACACAAAGCUUAUAAAGUCUGAUGCACUCGUUGAUUGUAAAAGGGGAAGAAUAUUUAAGAUAACAGACUAGUGUUGUGCCCAUAGAUCUAUUUAAAAAAGGUAACAAGCAUAAAUCUUUUAAUUAUAGACCAGUUUCAUUAACUACGAUAUGUUGUAAAAUUUGGGAACAUAUUUUAACAAGCAACAUCUGACAGUAACUCACAAAUAUGAAAUAAGAUAUAUUAUAUGACAUUCAACAUGGGUUUAGUAGUAAAUGGUCUUGCGAUACCCAAAUCAUUAUCAGUAUACAAGAUAUAGCAAAAUCAUUGGCAAAUGGUAAUCAAAUAGAAGUGAUACUUUUAGAUGUAUCUACAGCAUUUGAUAAAGUCCCCAUCAAAGUUCAGUACAAAAAAUGUAUUAGUUUUUAAUAGAUGUAGGAAUCAAAUCUUACAUUGGAUAAUAGAAUGUUUAGCUGACAGGAAAACGGCAAAUACUUUUAAAUAGUGCUAAAUCUUCUUAGUAUCUGUUGAUUCUGGUGUUCCUCAGGGAACAGUAUUAGGCCCAACAUUAUUUUGAAAUUAUGCAUUAAUGACUUACCAGAACAUGUAACUUGCAUUGCAAGACUUUUUGAAGUUAACAGCUAAUUGCAUAGAAAUGUAAAUAAUAAUUCUGAUGCACAAUUACUUCAAAAAGAUUUAUCUGGUUUAGUACAAUUGGAACAGGACUGGCAAAUGAAUUUUAAUCCUGAAAAGUGUUACGUAAUAAAUAUCUCUAAAAACAAUUAAUCCUUCCGCUUUUGAUUAUAUAUAGCACAAUCAUGUAUUAGAAUCAGUGAAGACAGUACAUAUUUAGGCGUAACUAUACAUAUAUUCUUUAUUCCAAAAGCAAUACUGCUUACAGGUAUCAAGUACAAUAAAUAUUACAUUAAAUAUAAUAAGCAACAAAUAUUACAAUAAGAUAAUUCAUUAAUAUGCAAUUAAUACAAAUAUAAGCAAUGAGCUUAACUGGGGAACAUAUAUAAACAAUAUUACCCGCAAGGCAAGUAAAACCUUAUGUUUUAUUCGUGGAAACUUAAAAAAAGGUUUUAAACCUUACGUACACAUCACUUGUCCAUCCAGAAUACUCUUUCCCUGCCGGCUAUCCGUACAAAAAUUUACCAUAUCACUCACAUUGAACAGAUUCAGCGUAAAGCAGCCAUAUUCGUCUAAAAUGAUUAUAAAGACAGAACACCGGCAGCAGUUUCCAACAUGAUUAAUUCUUUACAAUGGGAGAAUUUAUACAUUAGGCGAAAAAAGGCUAGAUUAACUAUUAUACAUAAAAUAAAUUUGGGGUUAGUAGAAGUUCCAAAGGUCAGUUUUACUAAAUCUGAUAGGCAUACUAGGGUGAAACAUAAAUUUAGACAAAUAGCCAUUAUUAGUCUUCUAUAAUUAGUCUUUCUAUCCGAACACUAUCUUUGACUGGAAUACACUACCUGAAGCAAUAUGCAUGUCUGACACACUGGAACCCUUCAAAAGUGGCAUAUUCACUCUAACAUUUGAAGGACCAACAAAGGGGGCCAAGUGACCUAUUACCAUCCGUCGUCGUCGUUAACAUUUUACAUUUUGAACUUCUGCUAGAGAACGACUACAUGGAAUGAAACCAAACAUGAUAUUAUGGAACGCCAUGACUGUUCCUUAUGCUCAAUGGAUAAAAAAAAAACAUUGUAUGAAUGUUUUUUUUUUAUAGGUGUUGACCAAGUGUUGUUACUUUGUAGCAGUAAGCCUGAGUUACGGGGUCAAUAUUCUGUUAAACCAAAUUUGUCCUCAAACAUUUUUAGGGUAUCUGUUAGGAUUUAAAUCUAUUUUUACAUGAUUUUUAAAAUGAAAGUAGAAUCAGGUGAGCGAGCGUCUAGUCGUUUUUUCUUUAUUUUUUGUUUGUAUUAAUUUUAAUGAAGAAUAUAUGUACAUAGCACGCAAGUUCCCGGAAGUUUUAUGCUCCUACCUAGUAAUCUCUACUCCCGUAUAAGGAAGAAAAUUUCUCGCUUGCUUGUCCAUGUUGUGUUAGCAUAUAAAUCCAAAAACACAUCGUACUGAGUCAUUAAAGUCGAACACACCCUAGAAGAUGUGCUAUUUUUAUUUGUUUUAUCUUAAAUCUUUAUUUAAAAACUUGCUUAAAGGGAAAACGGCAUGCAGCAAUCACUAAGUACUAAUAUGUCUAAUAUAUGAGUACAAGGGGAUGCUGUGGAUUUUCUAUAAAACUGCCAUAUGUUUAGUACUGAACCGACGAAAGGGGGACACCUGAUAGUGUCCUUGUUAAAACAGGCCAAACAUUGAAAAGACAAAGUUUUUAAUUUAGAAGGGUGGAAAUAUUUGGACACUAGAUUCCUUUUGAGAUCAAGACUGAGGUAUAUUUAUAUAACUUGAAUAUAAGACAUUACUAAUAAAAAAUCUAACAAUUCAAUAGACCAUCCAACUACCAACUCUCUUGGAUAGAUGUACAAACAACAAUAAACAACAACUACCAAUAAAAGGUUAAGAUUCACGACUUAGUUAACAAUUUGGUGGUGUUGAACAUUUUUAAAUAUGUAUUUAUCACCUAUCGAAAGUAUUUGACUAACAUGACAUUAUUAAAGAUAAAUAAACAAUCUCACUUUCAAAAGUAUAAUUACACUCAAUUAUUUAUAAUAAUUAGAUUUUUUUUUGUAUUGCUAUUUGACCUUUAACAUUGUUUAAACAUAGUACACAUAAACACAUAUACAUGUGAAUUCAGAAAAUUGUUUGGGUAUUACCAACAUGCCACAUGUAGAUGAUUGCGUGUGUGUGUGACAGGGUAAGACGACCAAACAUGAUAAAUUCUAUGAUUAUUGAUUUUAUAAAGCAUCAAAGAGUGUAUGUAUAUAGGAGAAGCAAUUUUGUCGUUUCAGAUUGAUAGGUCAUUUUUAUUUUUUGUAAUAUUAAGCAUAUUUCAAUUUGAGACACUUUAAGUGCAAUAUUUUUUAUUUUACAUAUAUUUGAAUAAUCGUCACUUUUUCAUAUCCCAGGCAUAGAUUACCUUAGCCGUAUUUGACACAACUUUUUUAGAAUUUUGGAUACUCAAUGCUCUUCAAUUUUGUACUUGUUUGGCUUUAUAAAUAUUUUGAUAUGAGCGUCACUGAUGAGUCUUAUGUAGACGAAACGCGCGUCUGGCGUACUAAAUUAUAAUCCUGGUACCUUUGAUAACUACGUAUUAACAUUAAAUUUGAUCUAUCACAAUUUAUAGAGCAAGCAGACAUUCUUUUGUCAAUACAACCAUGUUUCAUGUCAUCUGCUUAAAAAUAUAUAACAAGAAUGUGUCCAAAGUACACGGAUGCCCCACUCGCACUAUCCUUUUCCAUGUUUUAUGAACCGUGAAAUUGUGUAAUAAUCUAAUUUGGCAUUAAAAUUAGAAAGAUUAUACUAUAGAGAACAUAUGUACUAAGUUUCAAGUUGACUGGACUUCAAUUUCAUCAAAAACUACCUUGACCAAAAACUUUAGCCUGAAACUCCCACUUUCAUUUUUUAUGUUCAGUGGACCGUAAAAUUGGGGUCAAAAGUCUAAUUUGGCUUUAAAAUAAGAAAGAUCAUAUCAUAAACAACAAGUGUACUAAGUUUCAAGUUGAUUGGAUUUCAGCUUCAUCAAAAACUACCUUGACCAAAAACUUUAACCUGAACGGACACACAGACGGACGAACGGACGGACGGACGGACGGAAGCACAGACCAGAAAAUAUAAUGCCCCUCUACUAUCGUAGGUGGGGCAUAAAAAUCGAGACAAGUGAUAAUUAAUCUUCCUUGAGCACGUGGGUAAGGUUGGCCUGCAACAGUUUUUCGUGCUAUUGAUUUGGUUCUGAUCAGUGCUGGUGAUCGUUGAACACAUGUUCACACAGAUGAUUUUUGACGUUUUCUCAAAUAAAACAUGAAAAGAAAUAUUUUGAUUUUCAAUGGUUCAAAGGCAAGCAAUUAAAAUGGCUCCUAUACGCUGUUCCAGUAUAUGUAACACAAACGUGCUCAUUUAAAAUAAUCUAGGACAGAAAAAAUAAACAAGUUUACUUUACUGCAUUGGCUAGAGGUAUAGGAGGAGGGUUGAGAUCUCACAAACAUGUUUAACCCCGCCGCAUUUUUGUGCCUGUCCCAAGUCAGGAGCCUCUGGCCUUUGUUAGUCUUGAAAUAUUUUAACUAUUAGUUUUUGUGUACAAUUAUGAGUUUAGUAUGGUGUUCAUUAUCACUGAACUAGUAUAUAUUUGUUUAGGGCCAGCUGAAGGACGCCUCCGCGGGUGCGAGAAUUUCUCGUUGCAUUGAAGAUCUGUUGGUGACCUUCUGCUGUUGUCUGCUCUAUGGCCGGGUUGUUGUCUCCUUGGCACAUUCCCAUUUCCAUUCUCAAUUUUAAGUGUUUCUGGAGUCCGCCUUUGUUACCCAGAAUCCGCAUGAUAAUUUUUUGUGUGAAAAAAUAAAACGAAGCAAUUUAUCAAUAUCCACAUUUGAUAUUAACUUUAGACAUGUCCUAGCUGGUUCUGUGGUGGUGUGUUCUGAUUCUGUGCUGGUGGAUCCUGAUACAGUACUGAUAAUUUAUGGCAAGACGAUAGUCCUAUUUGAUCCAAAAGUUUCAGAAGUUAUCAAUUGUUUUUUUGCUCCUAAUUUAUUUUGUGGACACCCAUAUUAUUGUAGUUUUCAAAAUAUUAGUAAUAGUUAUUUCAUACUACGUAAUUAAAAGGGAAAUAUCAUCAAUCGUAUAUCAGAUGGAAACAUGUGCAAUUAUAAUAGUUAAAUGUUAAAGUAGUUAAAAUGGUUUCGCGCGCGAAGCCCAGUCACCUGAUUUAUAUGUAACCGGAGAAUGAAUUUUAUUACAAAAUUGCUUGUCUCCACCGGGAGUCGAACACGGAACCUCUGUGUUACAAGGCAGCGCGUUAACCGACUGAGCUAAAGAAGUAGUUCCUUAGACUCAACCGCUUACGACUGACUAAGUAUGUACUUAGUUUUUCUAAGGGAAGCCAUCCCGUCACACUUCCCCCACCUCAAGAGUCAUUAUACUCUAUAAUGAUGAUAUCUUCAUCUUUUUAUAUUUAUAUUAUAACCUGGCUAGAUAUUUCUUCUAACCGUGGGUUUUUAUUGUUGGGCGCCAAUGUAACCGGAGAGCAUGAAUUUUAUUACAAAAUUGCUUGUCUCCACCGGGACUCGAACCCGGAACCUCUAAGAUACAAGGCAGCGUGUUUUUUUCUCUUUGAUGAGGCAGCGCGUUAACCGACUGAGCUAAAGAAGUACUUCCUUAGCUCAACCGCUUACGGCUGACUAAGUAUCUACUAAGUUUUUCUAAGGGAAGCCAUCCCGGCACACUUAUAUAUCACGUUGUAUUUGUUGUUGUGGUCGUCGACCGAAAAAUCGUUCUCUGAAACCACAGGAUCAAAUGCCACCAAAAGAAUUCUUCCUUGGGAAAUUAAGUAUGUAAAUGGAAUAAAAAGAAAUGUUCAGAGAUUAAUACAGACAACAGUUGAAGGUCUUUCCAUCUCGCGUGUUGAUCAUUAUCCUAUCUACUUGAUACAAACUAAAGAUUUUAUAAAAAUGUGAAAAUUUUGAAAAAGUAAAACCGUAACAAAAAGCGUGACAACUGCACGUCUUAUUCCUGGUCUAAAUCAUCAUUGCAUGUGGCUUUUCCUGGUUUUGGACAUAAUUGAAUGAUGAUAAUCGUGAUUUUGGACAUAAUUGAAUGUGGCUUUUCAUGGUUUCGGACGUAAAUGAAUGCGGCCAUUUAUGGUUUCGGGCAUAAAUGAACGCGGCUAUUCGUGGUUUCGAACAUAAUUGAAUGCUACUCGUGAUUUCGAACAUAAUUGAAUGCUACUUGUGGUUUCGAACAUAAUUGAAUGCUACUCGUGGUUUCGAACAUAAUUGAAUGCUACUCGUGGUUUCGAACAUAAUUGAAUGCGGCUAUUCGUGGUUUUGAACAUAGUUAAUUAUAAAUUCUUGUAAGGUGCUUAUUAUAAAUCAAUACGAUAAAUAAAAAAUGACACUAGUCCCAUUAAAAAAAUAAGAAGAUUUAUAAGAUUACUAGAAGACACUUGUAAAAUUGCAGGCAUGUGACUCGGAUUACAGUUGAUGUUCAAGACUCGCAUUGUUAACUGAUAAGUAACUGAAUUGUAAAUUGAUUUCGUUUACUUUCUGUAUUCAUGUUCUCAGUGUUACUAGUCGUAUUCCCGUUCAAUUGGAAUUUUCGAAUAUUAAAAUAACACUUAAAAACUUCUAAUUAAAUAUCUCGUGAUAGGGUAGACUUAAACUUCCGGAGGCUGCAAACUUAUUAUCCUAUAUAACACAAUCACACACAGUGAAUUUUUUAAGUUACACAGGCAAAUUUCACUCGCAUCAACUUCACGUGAUUUUAAAUUCAUGUGAAUCUCACGUGAAAUUCCGUGACAUGAAUUUCAUCUCAAACAAGCUUAUAUGUGAAACUCACGUGAAAUCGUUUUUUGUGAGUUUCAUGUGAAUCUCACAUGAAAAUCACGUAAGUUUUUCUAAUGUGAAAUUCACAUGAAUUUUUAAAAUAGAGUAAUUCAAAUAACAUCUUUUUCAAGUUCAAUUAAAAUCAUGAAAAAUGUCGAUUUUUUGUUGUAACCUUCACGUGAAAUUCAUGUGAAAAAUUUCACAUCAAAUUCAGGUGAAUCUCAAUUCACAUGAAAUUCACGUGAACAUUUUCACGCUAGUUUCAUGUAUAAGCUCGUUUGAGGUGAAUCUCACGCGAAAUUUUUCAUGUGAAUUUCAUGUGAGAUUCAUGUGAAAUUCAUGUGAGCAAAUUUUGCCUGUGUAUGGCAUUUUAAAUAUAGAUCAACAUGUAAAGUCUAUCGUGAAAGGCUCUCAUUAAGAAAUAUUAUAUCUUUCCGUUUAUUUUAUUUUUAGAGGAAUUCAUGCUUUUGCACAAAAAAGUUCUAAGUGUAUUUUCAUAUACCAUUACCGACUAUUAUGUGAUAAUUUGUCUACAGUUUAAAAGUUUAUAUAAUCUCGAAGCUCCAUAUUACAAUUUUAGUAUAAACACGUAUAGAAGAUGCAAAAAAACUAAAUUAUGUACCUGCAUUAAGCUUUUAAAGUCCAUAGAAAUAUUUUAAAUUGAAAUUGACCAUUUUUACCUUUCAUUUCUUUAGUUUAAUUUCAACUAGAUAACAGCCUGAUUUGAUAAGCAGCAACUCUCUAGAUAUUAUUUAAGCUAAAUAUUUUAUAGCAAAUUGGAAAAUAAAAAGUAAAUGUUCACAGUUACUGAUCACAUGAUAUAUAUAACUUAGAAAACACUAUACCGGUCUUUAAUAAAAUGUACUUCUUCCAGUGGUCAAAAUUAUUAAUGCAGAUAUUGCACCAUUUUUAAUUUCGCCUCAGUUCCCUCAGAAAUCAACACUAAUAAUGAACAAAAUCUGAUAUUUUAUAUGCAUUUUUCUUACAAAUAUAAAUCGGAUUUAAAUAAGUAUCGUACAUCUGCUGUUUACUAAACUCAUAAGCUGAAUGUAUUAUUAUCCUUAAAAUGACAUUAUAUAUAAUCCCUCUUUUAUUUUGUUUCAGUGUGUCAUCCGGGUUCUUAGAUAUAACUAGAAAUGAGAGUAAAUAAAAAAUGAAUGAAAAUCUACAAGAACGCAAUAAUGAGAAGGACAAAGAGUGUUAUAGUCCUUGGAAUGAUAGCUUGUUUACUGGUGUUUAAAUCUUACUUUAAUAACGGUAAGAUUCUCAAACUGUUACUUAACUCGGGCAAGAAUACGAUCUUUUCUAUCGGUCUUUAUAUCUUACUUUGACAACUGCAAGAUUGUCUAACUGUUACUUAACUCAGGCAAAAAUGAUAGCUUUUCUACUGGUGCUUAUAUCUUACUUUGAUACCGAUAAGGUCGCCCAACUGCCACUUAAAGCAGGCACAAUGUUACUGUUUUUUUCUCUACAUAACAGUUGAAGCUGGAGCUAUUUUGUACUAUGAAUCGAUGGCACUUUCUUAGCUUUAUGAGCGUGCAAAAAACGUAUGAAGCGAUCUGAGUAAGAUCUUGAAUCUUUUUCAAAUGAUUUAAAGAAGGAAUUGAAAAAAUCGAUAAAUCUAUUACACUUGUACUUUAAUGUGUUUAUGUAUUUUAUUUCAAAUGCUCGUAAAGGAGAGUCGAAAAUAUACCAGAUGGACAUCAUAACUAAAAAAUAAACUGACAACGCCAUGGCAAAAAAUAAAAAAACCAAAAGAGACCAAUUUUUAAGACAAAAAAACAGUUGCAAAAACCCAACAUAGUAAACUCAAGACUGAACAACACAAACCUUGAGCAACACGAACCCCAUCAAAACUCUGGGGGUGAUCAUAGUAAAACUACAUUCAACAGCAAAUAAUACAAGCAUUAGCCUUUCAAAAAGGGCUAGUCGACUCUUAGCUGAUGAAAAUGGAAAGUGCUCUCGCUUUGUAGAUUCAUUCAUUUACUAGAAUAGCCACGUGCAUCAAUCAACAAAUUUUACCACACACUAUGAAGUAGUAUAUAUCGUUUAACGUUAUUGUUUACGAAACUCCAGAAGAUUCGACUAUUUAGAGAUAAAAGUUACCUGUGUAUCCAUAUCAUGAAUAUGCAUGAUUAAUGACCAGGCAAAAUCUAAUUGCUAAAAUAGAGAGGACAAAUCCGAUACUCUACGGGAUUGAAGGACAUUUACUAGGUUUGAUGUUCCUAACCAAUCAAUUAACUUUGAUUAUUCACGUCUCGUAAUAUCUUCCAAUCAGGUAGCAAGAAAAAUUCACGCACUGACUGUCCAUCGUUCAAUUCUUAAUAUCGACUCCUAAUAAAUAAUUAAUCUGAUACAAAAACUGCAUUCAACAUCAAAUAACAUUAAUCUGAUAACAGGUAUUUCGCAUAAUCAUUUUUUGUUUGAAUUACUAUAGAUUUUAUGAUUCUGAUGCUUUGUGUUUAUGAUAACAAAAAUAUAUAUUUGCAUUUGCGUUAUUACUUUUGAAUGACAUUGUAUUUUAUAGCAGUUUUGUUUAUGACAGACCAAUCUAGUAAAGAGAGUUUACGGUUAAAAGAGUUAACAG